rnacentral:snoRNA from 1 species
GGAAAUGAGGAAAAAGCAAACCGUCUGAGAAGUGAUGUAGAGCUCUCGCCCUGAUC